CGGGCCGUGGCGCAGUUUGGUAGCGCAUCUGCUUUGGGAGCAGAGGGUCGUCGGUUCGAAUCCGGCCGGCCCGACCA
rnacentral:tRNA from 1 species